rnacentral:rRNA from 1 species
CAGUAGCCGCGGUAAUACGUAGGGUGCAAGCGUUAAUCGGAAUUACUGGGCGUAAAGCGUGCGCAGGCGGUUAUAUAAGACAGAUGUGAAAUCCCCGGGCUCAACCUGGGAACUGCAUUUGUGACUGUAUAGCUAGAGUACGGCAGAGGGGGAUGGAAUUCCGCGUGUAGCAGUGAAAUGCGUAGAUAUGCGGAGGAACACCGAUGGCGAAGGCAAUCCCCUGGGCCUGUACUGACGCUCAUGCACGAAAGCGUGGGGAGCAAACAGGAUUAGAUACCCCUGUAGUCCCUGUCUCUUAUAA